AUUGAACGCUGGCGGCAGGCUUAACACAUGCAAGUCGAGCGGAGAUGAGGUGCUUGCACCUUAUCUUAGCGGCGGACGGGUGAGUAAUGCUUAGGAAUCUGCCUAUUAGUGGGGGACAACAUUCCGAAAGGAAUGCUAAUACCGCAUACGUCCUACGGGAGAAAGCAGGGGAUCUUCGGACCCUGCGCUAAUAGAUGAGCCUAAGUCGGAUUAGCUAGUUGGUGGGGUAAAGGCCUACCAAGGCGACGAUCUGUAGCGGGUCUGAGAGGAUGAUCCGCCACACUGGGACUGAGACACGGGCCAGACUCCUACGGGAGGCAGCAGUGGGGAAUAUUGGACAAUGGGGGGAACCCUGAUCCAGCCAUGCCGCGUGUGUGAAGAAGGCCUUAUGGUUGUAAAGCACUUUAAGCGAGGAGGAGGCUACUGAGACUAAUACUCUUGGAUAGUGGACGUUACUCGCAGAAUAAGCACCGGCUAACUCUGUGCCAGCCGCCGCCGUAAGAC
rnacentral:rRNA from 1 species